GGCCUUGUGGUGUAUUUACAUAUUAGGUUGCAAACCUAAGGUUGUAGAUUAGAAGUCUGCCGGGGCUU
rnacentral:tRNA from 1 species